CCUUCCUCUAACUCGUGUUACUCAUGCUGCAGUUCCUAGGCCCUGGACUAUGACGAGGAGCAUGUGUUGGUCGCCCCCGUGCUGGUAGUUUUGGAGCUAGCUGCUAAAGAAUGUUGGAUCUAUACCAAGGUAUCAAUGGCGCCUCCAGAUAUGCCAGCAAGGUGUUCGACAAAAGUCCAGGCAGGUUUUCACCAUGUCCCCUUUGCUACAGAUCUACAUUAGUGGCUUAUAAAAACAAUGUACCCAGGAAAGAAAAGUAUAGUGGCGACUCGAGGGAUAAGAGGCGGGAGUGACAAGGCUUGCAUUUCUUCUCCUCCAUUCAUAGAAUAUCCGUUUGUUUGUGUGUUUCUUGGUAAAGCUUACAAGGAAUUUAUGCCACAUGAUGAGUAUUGCCUUCUACUGUGUGGUAGCAAGAUGAGCCUGAAGGAGUUGGCAAUGAUUCACGAGAAGAAACCAAUACUUCAGCAUCCCCAAGCAAGCUCGGUAGCGUUGUCACAAAGAUAGUUCAAAUCAUCUUAAAUGGAAGAGAGCGAUAUUGAUUUAUCACUGCUACAACAAAUGAACUAUUACUUGAGUCUCUUCUCGAUGUCCUUCCUUGCCGAGGUUUUGGUGUGUUUAGGACUUGAACUGAACCACAAGCGAGCAGGCUGAAAGAAUAUGUGCAGCUAAAAGCUCCUUCGGAGAAAAGAAGAGCCGAGAGGAAGCUUUCCAUCUUCAACACAUAGAAUAGGAGGAGAGGCGUGCAUGGACCAAUGCCAAGCGACCACAGGCCUGAAUCGUGGAGCUUCGUCUGUUAACCGACGGCAAUGAGCAUAGGCGCGAGGAGGUGGUCUCAAGGAGAAGCUUCUCGAUGAGGUUGGUCUGUCGCCGAGCUUGCCUGCAAGAUCCUCAUCUCUGUCUGUUGCAUGAGUAAGGUUGAAAUGUGCGUUACAAAAACAGCAGGAGGAGAGGCGUGCAUGGACCAACGCCAAGCGACCACAGGCCUGAAUCGUGGAGCUUCGUCUGUUAACCGACGGCAAUGAGCAUAGGCGCGAGGAGGUGGUCUCGAGGAGAAGCUGCUCGAUGAGGUUGGUCUGUCGCCGAGCUUAACUGCAAGAUCCUCAUCUCUGUCUGCUGCAUGAGUAAGGUUGAAAUGGUCAAACAUGUUGAGACACUGGCAAUCUCUCUUGAGCUGCUCAAUUGAGCCUGAACCCAAGAAUGACGUGAAGUAAGGUACCAAACUGCCAGUACAGCUUGUGUUACCACCUUCUACUAUGUUCCUUCACUGCCUGCUAUAUAAGAAUAUUAUUUAUUCAAUGGACUUCUAUUACUACAAAAAUAACGUAAUAAUUUAGUAGGAAGAAAACUGUCAAAGAACUGCAAGAAAAUUAAGUACACACUUCUGGUACCAGUGUAAGCAAGGGAAAAUCUUGGCAUGUUUUUUUGCCUUCAAAUAGCACUUAUGUUGUCCUGUAUUAAAAUUUACCUUAUUAGACUGCUCUCAGUUGAUAAAAAUUCAGUGUUGUCUUAAAUUCAUUUUUUAGUUUAACUGUAGUAGAAGAUAUC